CCUACGGGAGGCCGCAGUGAGGAAUAUUGGUCAAUGGGCGAGAGCCUGAACCAGCCAAGUCGCGUGAAGGAUGACGGCCCUACGGGUUGUAAACUUCUUUUGUCAGGGAGCAAUUGGGUCCACGCGUGGGCUCAGCGAGAGUCCCUGAAGAAAAAGCAUCGGCUAACUCCGUGCCAGCGGCCGCGGUAUUACGGAGGAUGCGAGCGUUAUCCGGAUUUAUUGGGUUUAAGGGGUGCGUAGGCGGAAUAUCAAGUCAACGUGAAAAUUUCGGGGCUCAACCCCGUCGUGCCGUUGAAACUGAGGUUCUUGAGUGGGCGAGAAGUAUGCGGAAUGCGUGGUGGAGCGGUGAAAUGCAUAGAUAUCACGCAGAACUCCGAUUGCGAAGGCAGCAUACCGGCGCCCAACUGACGCUGAAGCACGAAAGCGUGGGUAUCGAACAGGAUUAGAUACCCCAGUAGUC
rnacentral:rRNA from 1 species